GGGAGGGGGCUUCGACAGAAAGUCCUGUCUGUUUGCUGAAUGAGAAAGAAGGCCCUGAGUCAGUUUAAACUCAGGCUAUUUAUCCAAAAGCCCUUUCUUUGUCUGUUGGCCUCUGGAAAAUCCAGUUUGAACUAAUAUAUGUGUAUCUCUCCAUUGGAUGGUACUUCUCUAGAGGUGCUACAACCUGAGUGAAUUUGCCUAAUCACUGUCCAAACCUGCCCCACUGUUCUUAGUUCCUGGAGGAGCUGAGGUCAUCCUCUUCCAUGGGAUUACAUACAAUCCCUGGCCCACAACGAUACAUAGAAUCAUAGAAUAGAAUAUCAGAGUUGGAAGGGACUUCAGGAGGUCAUCUAGUCCAACUCCCUGCUCAAAGCUGGCCAGUCCCCAGACAGAUUUUUGCCCCAUAUCUCUACGUGGCCCCUUCAAGGAUUGAACUCACAACCCUAGGUUUAGCAGGCCAACACUUAAACCACUGAGCUAUCCUUCCCCUCCCAUUGCAUUAAACUUAAUACAAUAAGAUCUCCCCAAUGAUAUUGCAGGAAAUUGCCACAUCUACCAAACUUACAACAUUUAAAAUCUACACAAUCCCUGCAAUAAAACAACAAAUAAAUAAAGCAAUUGAAAUAUUCAUAAACACCACCAAGAUUAUUAUCACAUGCACCUACAGAUAAUUCACUAACCCUCUCAAAACCGUUGCUUCUUCAGUCUCAAAUCCCCCUCUUCCGAAAAAUCGCAAGGGGGGAAAAAGGGCAAUAUUAUAGCAAUGGUAGGUCAAGUACAUAGUGUUUCUGUUAAGGUACAAUAUUAAAAGCAUAACUACUAAUACAAAAUACUAUGUGUAUCAUAUGCAGUAUAGAUAGCCAGGUGAAUGUUGCUAUGUGUGGUCCUGAUCUAAAGUCCAGUUAAGUCAAUGGGUGUCCUUUCAUUGACUUCAGUGGCCUUUGAAUUAGGACAGUGAUUUUCAACUCGUGGUCAGCAGGCCCUUGGAGAUCCACAGACUAUGUCCAAGGGGUUCACAAAAGGUUGUUGUUACCACACAACAGUUUUCAACCAGUGGUUUGUGGACCCCUGGGAAUCCACAGACUAUGUCUAAGAUUUCCAAAGGGUCCGUAUCUCUAGUUGAAAUUUUUUAGCAGUCCAUAAAUGAAAAAAGGUUGAAAACCAAUGAAUUAGGGCAUAUAUUACAUUUUAUUGUAGUGCCGCAAACCUUCCGCCAUAGGAACCUUGAGCCAAAUUUGCCGACAGUUAAAUCUGUGUAAAUAGGGAGCAAUUCUCUUGACUUGUUACUGCAACUGGGAUUAUUUAAUCUGCAGAAGAGAAGAAUGAGGGGGGAUUUGAUAGUUGCUUUCAACUACCUGAAAGUGGGUUCCAAAGAGGAUGGAUCUAGACUGUUCUCAGUGGUAGCAGAUGACAGAAAAAGGAGUAAUGGUCUUAAGUUGCAGUAGGGGAGGUUUAGGUUGGAUAUUAGGAAAAACUUUUUCACUAGGAGGGUAGUGAAGCACUAGAAUGGGUUACCUAGGGAGGUGGUGAAAUCUCCUUCCUUAGAGGUUUUUAAGAUCUGGCUUGACAAAGCCCUGGCUGGGAUGAUUUAGUUGGAGAUUGGUCCUGCUUUGAGCAGAGGGUUGGACUAGAUGACCUCCUGAGGUCCCUUCCAACCCUGAUAGUCUAUGAUUCUAUGAAUUCUGCACCAGAGUAACUAACAAAAAAUUUGCCUCGUUGUACAUAGGAGUAAUUCAAAUUAUUAGAGCUGGUUGCAGAAAUGUAAAGAGAACACACAGAGAACUAAGCAGUUCAAGUGCGCAUCAGUGUUGGACAGGAGGGUUGAAGCACCAGUUAACUUUUCUGCUUUUUCUUCUUCUUCUUUUCUUUUUGGCAAGCUCAGUCAGUAUCUUGUACUUGUUCCCAGAGAAAUAACCAAAGGGCACAAAGUGCUAACAUGCAUGCGGGUAGAGCAGUCACUCACCUGCCCCCACUCAUCUUACACCUUCGUUCGCCAGUUCAUCAUCACUGCAAAGGUACAGUUCACAUAGAUUCACAGCCAGGAAUUUUUCACUGUGUCAGGCAAGAGCACUACCUGCUCCCAGUAAACAACAGAUUAAGCUCAGCAUCUUCCUUCUUCUCUUGCUCAGGGAGAAGGACUAUACUUUAGUUGCAUGCAUACCUCUCAGUGUCCCUAAUCUCAACCCCAAGGUUACCUCAGUGCCACCCAAACUUCAUGACCUCUCACUUUUUAACUGCUGAAAAUUAUCUGCAUCAGAAAUAAACACUCUUGGUACAGAGUGUGACGGUGCACCCCUAAGGCUUUAUGGAAAUAUGAUUAUGAAUGUAUAAUGACAUAACUGGAAUAUGUUUUAUGCUACAUAUGCCAUGUAACAUAUCUCUGUAAAGGUUCUGAUCUACUGAAGCUAUUCAUCCUAUUUGUAUGCAUGUGUCAUUGUUGUAUUUGAAGUUAUGAAUAUUGGCUGUGUACUUGCUUGAUUUCUAAGUAGCCUUAGUAAAGCAUUUGGUCAGCUUCUUGAGAAAGGAAUGUGCAAAUUAUGUGCCCAAUCAAGAAACACAUAAAGGACAAUGAAUCUUGGAAGGCUCCAAUCCACAUAAGAAGUCUACCUGAGGAUGUUCAGGGUAGCAUGUAAACAACAGCUGCUGCCUGUAAAAACUGAGUCAUGCGUGGACAUGUGACUUGCCCAUGUGAUUUCAAAACUCCAUCUUGGAGCUGGACUUUGCAUAGGAGAGAGGAGGGGGUCUCCACCCACAAGAGAAAGUCUAUUUAAACCCCUAGGAGACCCCCUCCAUUUGGUCUUCAGCUGGCUAAAGAGAUAGCUUCUCCACUCCCAAGCACACCUGAAAGAAACUGGAACAAAGGACAGUAACUACAGGGGGUGUGAGUGAUUGCUGGACCCAGACUAGAAGGAGACUAGUCUGUAAAAGGAAGCUUACUGGAAUUCCUCUGAGGAUGCACAUGCUUGCAACUGAGGUAUCCUGCCAAUGGACUUGACACUGUGUCAUAGGUUCACCACUAUGGAUUGGCAACACUUUGGUUUACCAAAUCUCCUUCUCACACUGGCUGCACUCCCUUCUGAAUACAGGCUGUGCUGAAAGCUUCACGUGGCAACUUCGCACACUGGAUUCCCUUGGCCAAAGC